UGCCGGGCUGGGCAUCACACCCCUGUGCGUCACACCACCUGCACUCCUGCUUUUUCCCAGACCUCUUCCCCACACGCGGCCCCUAGCAUCCUCAUUCCCCUGCGCUCAUCUACCCUUUCUCAGAUGUGUCUUAAUUGUUACCUGAAAUUCUUCGACCAUCUUCGUAAAUCUGGAUAUAUGCCUUGAUUGAAGAAGGGACGUGCUGGUUGAAGCCCUAAGCUGUUUACUGGGAAUUGUGAGGCACAACAAGACAAAAUCUUGGUUCUCCACCGACUCACAGUCUAGUAGAAAGUGUGAUUUAUAAACCAAUCAUGAG
rnacentral:lncRNA from 1 species